GACGAACGCUGGCGGCGUGCCUAAUACAUGCAAGUAGGACGCAGUUGCCAACGGGUGAGUAACGCGUAGGUAACUGCCUAUUCGAGGGGGAUAACUAUUGGAAACGAUAGCUAAUACCGCAUACUAGUAGCUGGACCUGCGUGGUAUUAGCUAGUAGGUAGGGUAAUGGUCUACCUACGCAACGAUACAGAGCCUACCUGGGAGGGAGAUGUGCCACACUGGGACUGAGACACGGCCCAGACGCCUACGGGAGGGCACAGUAGGGAAUCUUCGGAAAUGGGGGGAACCAUUACGGAGCAACUGCGCGGGAGUGAAGAAAGGUUUCGGAUCUUAAAGCUCUGUUGUGAAGGAAGCGGUACUUACCCAGAAAGGGCCGGCUAACUACGUGCCAGCAGCCGCGGUAAUUC
rnacentral:rRNA from 1 species